AUACUUACCUGGCAGGGGAGAUACCAUGAUCACGAAGGUGGUUUUCCCAGGGUGAGGCUUAUCCGUUGCACUCCAGAUGUGCUGACCCCUGCAAUUUCCCCAGAUGUGGGAAACCCGACUGCAUAAUUUGUGGUGGUAGGGGACUACGUUUGCGCUUUCCCCUA
ensembl:snRNA U1 U1 spliceosomal RNA